AGAGUUUGAUCCUGGCUCAGGAUGAACGCUGGCGGCGUGCUUAACACAUGCAAGUCGAACGAUGGUAUUCUUCGGAAUAGCAGAGUGGCGCACGGGUGAGGAACACGUAGCUCACCUGCCUUCGAGUGGGGGAUAACGCCCCGAAAGGGGUGCUAAGACCGCAUAAGCUCACGCGCUGUAGAGGCGCGUGAGAAAAGGGAUAACGUGGUUAUUUCGCUCGAAGAGGGGGCUGCGGCCCAUCAGGUAGUUGGUGGGGUAAUGGCCUACCAAGCCAACGACGGGUCGGGGGUCUGAGAGGAUGAUCCGCCACACUGGGACUGAGACACGGCCCAGACUCCUACGGGAGGCAGCAGUGAGGAAUAUUGCGCAAUGGGGGAAACCCUGACGCAGCGACGUCGCGUGGGCGAAGACGGCCUUCGGGUUGUAAAGCCCUUUUCUGGGUGACGAGAAAGGACGGUAGCCCAGGAAUAAGUCUCGGCUAACUACGUGCCAGCAGCCGCGGUAAAACGUAGGAGGCAAGCGUUAUCCGGAGUUACUGGGCGUAAAGGGCGCGCAGGCGGUUGGAUAAGUGGAUUGUCAAAGGACCAGGCUAAACCUGGGGAAGGCAGUUCAGACUGUCGAGCUAGAGCCAUCUAGAGGGACGCGGAAUUCGGGGUGUAGCGGUGAAAUGUGUAGAGAUCCCGAGGAACACCAGCGGUGAAGACGGCGUCCUGGGGGUGAGCUGACGCUGAGGCGCGAAGGCGUGGGGAGCGAACAGGAUUAGAUACCCUGGUAGUCCACGCCGUAAACGAUGUCGACUGGACGUUCACUCCUUCGGGAGGGAGUGUCGAAGCAAACGCGGUAAGUCGACCGCCUGGGAAGUACGGUCGCAAGGCUAAAACUCAAAGGAAUUGACGGGGGCCCGCACAAGCAGCGGAGCGUGUGGUUUAAUUCGAGGCUACGCGAAGAACCUUACCUGGGUUUGACAUGCAUCUGGUAGUGAAGCGAAAGUGGAACGACCGCAAGGAGGAUGCACAGGUGCUGCAUGGCUGUCGUCAGCUCGUGUCGUGAGAUGUACGGUUAAGUCCGCAAACGAGCGCAACCCCCGGCGUGUGUUACACGUGUCACGCGCGACUGCCCGUGAGAAACGGGAGGAGGGUGGGGAUGACGUCAAGUCAGCAUGGCCUUUAUAUCCAGGGCGACACACACGCUACAAUGGGCGGUACAGUGGGGAGCGAGACCGAGAGGUGGAGCGGAUCCUAAAAAGCCGUUCGUAGUUCGGAUUGCAGGCUGCAACCCGCCUGCAUGAAGCUGGAGUUGCUAGUAACCGCAGGUCAGCACACUGCGGUGAAUACGUUCCCGGGCCUUGUACACACCGCCCGUCACGUCAUGGGAGCUGGUCACGCCUGAAGUGCAGUAGUGAACCGCAAGGGAGCGCUGUCCGAAGGCAGGGCUGGUGACUGGGACGAAGUCGUAACAAGGUAGCUGUACCGGAAGGUGCGGCUG
rnacentral:rRNA from 1 species